UACGUAGGGUGCGAGCGUUGUCCGGAAUUACUGGGCGUAAAGGGCGCGUAGGCGGAUAUUUAAGCUGGGGGUGAAAUCCCGGGGCUCAACCUCGGAAUUGCCUUCAAAACUGGAUAUCUUGAGUUCGGGAGAGGUGAGUGGAACUCCGAGUGUAGAGGUGAAAUUCGUAGAUAUUCGGGAGAACACCAGUGGCGAAGGCGACUCACUGGCCCGAUACUGACGCUGAGGCGCGAAAGCGUGGGGAGCGAACAGG
rnacentral:rRNA from 1 species